rnacentral:piRNA from 1 species
UAAUCUGUUUGACCACGAACCUAUGGAUC